AGAGUUUGAUCCUGGCUCAGAACGAACGCUGGCGGCGUGGAUUAGGCAUGCAAGUCGAACGAUCGAGGCCAAUGGUUCCGAACCUUCGGGUGAAGGAUCGGCUAAGAUAGUGGCGAACUGGUGAGUAACGCGUGGGCAAUUUGCCCUGAACUUGGGAAUAACACACCGAAAGGUGUGCUAAUACCGAAUGUGAUCGGUAACUCGUAUGGGUAACCGAUCAAGGGUGGGGAUCCGCUUGCGGACCUGCCGGUUUGGGAUAAGCCCGCGUCCUAUUAGCUUGUUGGUGAGGUAACAGCUCACCAAGGCGAUGAUGGGUAGCCGGCCUGAGAGGGUGACCGGCCACACUGGGACUGAGACACUGCCCAGACUCCUACGGGAGGCUGCAGUCGAGAAUCAUUCGCAAUGCCCGAAAGGGUGACGAUGCGACGCCGCGUGAGCGAUGAAGGCCUUCGGGUUGUAAAGCUCUGUCACAUGGGAGGAAAUGCAUUGGUGUUAAUAGCGCCAGUGUUUGACAGUACCAUGAGAGGAAGCCCCGGCUAACUACGCGCCAGCAGCCGCGGUAAUACGUAGGGGGCGAGCGUUGUUCGGAUUCAUUGGGUGUAAAGGGCGUGUAGGCGGUUGUAUAAGUCAGGUGUGAAAGCUCCCCGCUCAACGGGGAAAUUGCACUUGAUACUAUACGACUUGAGUGUAGGGGGUGAGAGCGGAAUUCUCAGUGUAGCGGUGAAAUGCGUAGAUAUUGAGAAGAACACCAGUAGCGAAGGCGGCUCUCAAUCCUACUACUGACGCUGAGGCGCGAAAGCGUGGGGAGCGAACAGGAUUAGAUACCCUGGUAGUCCACGCCGUAAACGAUGGGCACUGGGUGUAGGAGGUAUCGACCCCUCCUGUGCCGAAGCUAACGCAUUAAGUGCCCCACCUGGGGACUACGGCCGCAAGGUUAAAACUCAAAGGAAUAGACGGGGGCCCGCACAAGCGGUGGAGCAUGUGGUUUAAUACGACGCAACGCGUAGAACCUUACCAGGGCUAGACAUGCUGGGAUUAACCCAUCGAAAGAUGGGGGAUUAUCCGAAAGGGUGUAACCAGCACAGGUGUUGCAUGGCUGUCGUCAGCUCGUGUCGUGAGAUGUUGGGUUAAGUCCCGCAACGAGCGCAACCCUCGUCCUUAGUUGCCAGCGAUUCGGUCGGGGACUCUAAGGAGACUGCCCGUGACAAGCGGGAGGAAGGUGAGGAUGACGUCAAGUCAGUACGGCCCUUACGCCCUGGGCUACACACGUGCUACAAUGGCCGGCACAAUGGGUUGCAAUACCGCGAGGUGGAGCCAAUCCCCAAAGUCGGUCCCAGUUCGGAUUGGAGUCUGCAACUCGACUCCAUGAAGUCGGAAUCGCUAGUAAUGGCGAAUCAGCAAUGUCGCCGUGAAUACGUUCCCGGGCCUUGUACUCACCGCCCGUCACAUCACCCGAGUUGGGUGCACCCGAAGUCGCUGUCCUAACCCAGAGAGUAAUCAAAGGGAGGGAGGUGCCGAAGGUGUGCUUGGUAAGGGGGAUGAAGUCGUAACAAGGUA
rnacentral:rRNA from 1 species